AUUGAACGCUAGCGGGAUGCUUUACACAUGCAAGUCGAACGAGUGGCGGACGGGUGAGUAAGAUAUCGGAACGUGCCCAGUAGCGGGGGAUAACUACUCGAAAGAGUGGCUAAUACCGCAAAAUACUGGAGCGGCCGAUGUGGGAUUAGCGAGUGGGGGGGGUAAAGGCGCACCAAGGCAACGAUCCGUAGCUGGUUUGAGAGGACGACCAGCCACACUGGGACUGAGACACGGCCCAUACUCCUACGGGAGGCAGCAGUGGGGAAUUUUGGACAAUGGGGGAAACCCUGAUUCAGCCAUCCCGCGUGUAUGAGAAGGCCUUCGGGUUGUAAAGUACUUUCGGCAGAGAAGCGUUAUCGGCAGAAUAAGCACCGGCUAACUACGUGCCAGCAGCCGCGGUAAUAC
rnacentral:rRNA from 1 species